GAAAACAAAGUAUAUAAAAGGCCCGAGUUGACGGGACUCGAAAUAUAAAGGAUAGGGAAACACCCCAAAGAUAUAUAGGUUUCGUACAUAUAUAUUAAAUAUCGGUUAUGAACAAGAUAAAAUAAUUAGGAAGUAAAUAACCUAGUUAAAUUACAAGUCUUGUAGUAAUAAAGAAAUUGGUUAAAAUACACUCAAUGUAACUUGGGUGAAUUAGAGGGGCCAUAAGGGACAAACUAGAAACAAGUUUUAAUUAAAUAAAACUCUCUACACCAAAACACACACCUUGAGUGUGUGUUCUGGUCGAUGUCUUCCACAGGGGCAAAGGAAGUUCCUUUGUUCAACCCUAACUUGCCUAAAUCCAAGAAAUUGAGAGGCCAAAUCAGUCCCAAAUCGAAAUCCAAGCUCGUAUUCAUGAACACCAAGUUGAAAGGAUCACAAGGUGGAAGCUUGGAGUGAAAGCGGGUCAAACAAGUCAAGCAUGGAAGAAAAGCGUAGCUCGGAUGCAAGGUAAGUGAAACUUACAUAAUUGUGUAGAUUACUUGUUCAUUCUAUACGUUAUAGAUGCAAUAAUGCUAAUAUUGAAAAUAUGGAUUUCCGACGUGAUUGAUACGAGUCGGAACAUAUAAAGAUGAUAAAAACCAUGGUUUAUGGCAAAAAGGGGAUUUGAUAAUGAAAUCCGGGACGGGAUGGAUGUAUGAAUUAGAAGUCAAAAACCAUGUUUUUGAUUUAAUAGGCAACGUUGGGCAUAUAGGCCGAACGGGUCAAAUGGUGGUGAUAACACUAUUUGACAAUAUCGACUAAUGCGAUUGUCAAGUCUUGUGUUAACAGGAGCGAUUAGCGAUUCAGUUAAUUUCGCCCACACUAAGUGUGAUGAUAAAAGCGAGGUAUAAAUUGGGUCUAUAUGUUGACCCUAGCCAGGUGCUUUCUGGGAUGCCGGAGGACGAUCAAGCUCAGCGAAGA